rnacentral:rRNA from 1 species
UUUUCUACGGGACGCAGCAGUGGGGGAUAUUGCACAAUGGGGGAAACCCUGAUGCAGCGACGCCGCGUGGGCGAAGAAGUAUUUCGGUAUGUAAAGCCCUAUCAGCAGGGAAGAAGAAAUGACGGUACCUGAGUAAGAAGCACCGGCUAAAUACGUGCCAGCAGCCGCGGUAAUACGUAUGGUGCAAGCGUUAUCCGGAUUUACUGGGUGUAAAGGGAGCGCAGGCGGCACGGCAAGCCUGAUGUGAAAGCCAGCGGCCCCACCGCGGGACUGCAUGGGGAACUACCGGGCUGGAGUGCCGGAGG